rnacentral:tRNA from 1 species
UAGCUCAGUCGGUUAGAGCGUGAUGCUGAUAACACCAAGGUCACGGGUUCAACCCCCGCU